AUACGUAGGUGGCAAGCGUUGUCCGGAUUUAUUGGGCGUAAAGCGAGCGCAGGCGGUUUUUUAAGUCUGAUGUGAAAGCCUUCGGCUUAACCGGAGAAGUGCAUCGAACUGGAGACUUGAGUGCAGAAGAGGACAGUGGAACUCCAUGUGUAGCGGUGGAAUGCGUAGAUAUAUGGAAGAACACCAGUGGCGAAGGCGGCUGUCUGGUCUGUAACUGACGCUGA
rnacentral:rRNA from 1 species